rnacentral:rRNA from 1 species
UACCAGCACCCCGAGUGGUCGGGACGAUUAUUGGGCCUAAAGCAUCCGUAGCCGGCCUUACAAGUCCUCCGUUAAAUCCAGCUGCUUAAUAGAUGGGCUGCGGAGGAUACUAUAAGACUAGGAGGCAGGAGAGGCAAGCGGUACUCAGUGGGUAGGGGUAAAAUCCGUUGAUCCAUUGAAGACCACCAGUGGCGAAGGCGGCGUUGCCAGAAUGCGCUCGACGGUGAGGGAGUGAAAGCUGGGGGAAGCAAACCGG